rnacentral:rRNA from 1 species
CCCGUGAACCUGUAAAACAAUCGGGUGCGGGGGUGGUGCCUCAAACGGCGCCCCGUCGCCCCAUUGCCGGGGAGCGUCGCGCCUCCCUCCUUUUGCCCUCGACUGGAGUGCCGAUCCCGCGGCUCCUCCCCGGUCCAACAACGAACCCCGGCGCGGACAGCGCCAAGGAACUCAAAACGAAUGGCAUGCCCCGCGCACCAUCGCGUGCACGCGGGGCGAUGUAAACUUCGAUACUAUAACGACUCUCGGCAACGGAUAUCUCGGCUCUCGCAUCGAUGAAGAACGUAGCGAAAUGCGAUACUUGGUGUGAAUUGCAGAAUCCCGUGAACCAUCGAGUCUUUGAACGCAAGUUGCGCCCAAAGCCAUUUGGCCGAGGGCACGUCUGCCUGGGCGUCACACAUCGCGCUGCUCCCCCAACCCUGCCCUCAGGGGCACGGGUGUUCGGGGAGCGCACAUUGGCCUCCCGUUCAUCACCGGACGGAUGGCCCAAAAGCAAGCCUCGGGGUGACGAAAGGUCACGACAAGCGGUGGUUGAUUAUAUUCGGCCGUGGGCGUGUCGUGCCUGCCCGUCCCGAAGAGAGCUCACGCAUCCCCGACACAUUGCCUAGGCAAUGCUUGCAUCGCGACC